GGGAGCUUGCUCCCUGAUGUUAGCGGCGGACGGGUGAGUAACACGUGGGUAACCUGCCUGUAAGACUGGGAUAACUCCGGGAAACCGGGGCUAAUACCGGAUGCUUGUUUGAACCGCAUGGUUCAAACAUAAAAGGUGGCUUCGGCUACCACUUACAGAUGGACCCGCGGCGCAUUAGCUAGUUGGUGAGGUAACGGCUCACCAAGGCAACGAUGCGUAGCCGACCUGAGAGGGUGAUCGGCCACACUGGGACUGAGACACGGCCCAGACUCCUACGGGAGGCAGCAGUAGGGAAUCUUCCGCAAUGGACGAAAGUCUGACGGAGCAACGCCGCGUGAGUGAUGAAGGUUUUCGGAUCGUAAAGCUCUGUUGUUAGGGAAGAACAAGUACCGUUCGAAUAGGGCGGUACCUUGACGGUACCUAACCA
rnacentral:rRNA from 1 species